UACGGAUGGUGCGAGCGUUGUUCGGAAUUACUGGGCGUAAAGGGCGCGUAGGCGGCAUAUUAAGUCAGAUGUGAAAUCCCACGGCUCAACCGUGGAAGUGCAUCUGAAACUAGUAUGCUUGAGUAUCGGAGAGGAAAGUGGAAUUCCCGGUGUAGAGGUGAAAUUCGUAGAUAUCGGGAGGAGUACCGGUGGCGAAGGCGACUUUCUGGACGAAUACUGACGCUGAGGCGCGAAAGCGUGGGAGCAAACAGGGAUUAGAUACCCUGGUAGUCCACAGCUGUAAACGAUGAGAACUAGGUAUAGGGGGUGUUGACCCCUUCUGUGCCGUAGCAAACGCAUUAAGUUCUCCGCCUGGGGAGUACGGUCGCAAGAUUGAAACUC
rnacentral:rRNA from 1 species